rnacentral:lncRNA from 1 species
UAUCUAAGUAAGUAAGUGAGUGAGGAAGUUAGAUAACAAAGAGCAUCACAAACACAACAAAAGUAUAGUGGUUCGGUGCAUCCCAGCACCAACAUCUACUCCCCAAGACCUCUUGGAAAUUUUACUAUAAUCCCUCAGAUUACAGCCGGUUGUUUUACAAGCUCACAACCCAACUUGUUGUUUUGCGAGAUCACAACGAACUCGGUCGGUUUUCACAGGCUCACCGACUAGAACCAACCGAUUGUUUUCACGGGCUCACAAUCC